ACUUUUGUUGUCAAUGUGGCAGAAACAUAAAAUUUGUCCAAGAUCAUGCAAACAAAGCCCAAGAUGAGAGGAACACUACCACUGCAACUCCCGAUGUUCAACCAAGCACCAGCACAGGUGUAGAGUGUUUCAUGAACUUUAGAGCUAUAAAAGAGAGGGAAAGAAAGAAAUUUUUUACCAAGAAGCAUCAGAACAAAACACAGAAGGGAAAUAAACUGAAGAUUAAUGUUGGGCUUAUGAGGAUGCAGGGAGAUUCCCUUAAGACAGUGAGAGGGAAGUUACUUACAGUUGAGAUUCACCCUGAGUGGGCAUCGGAACAAGUGCUUGCUGCUGCUGUAAAGAAGCAAAAGGAUUUCAAUAUAGACCUGAGAGAUUGUGCCCAUGUCUUGUUGUAUCCUGAUGCAAGGGAGGUUAAGAACAUCCCAGGAACAGACAUUCCUUUCACAGUGCAAAAGUACAAGGAGGCAAUUGGAAAGCCUUACCAAAGAAUUACGCUUUACAUUUGCCCUGUUGAGGAAUUUGCAAAAAGCUGUAAGUGCUUUUGAUCUACA